GGGCCCGCACAAGCGGUGGAGUAUGUGGUUUAAUUCGAUGCAACGCGAAGAACCUUACCAGGGUUUGACAUCCUGCGAAUCUCUUGGAAACUUGAGAGUGCCUUCGGGAGCGCAGUGACAGGUGGUGCAUGGCUGUCGUCAGCUCGUGUCGUGAGAUGUUGGGUUAAGUCCCGCAACGAGCGCAACCCACGUCUUUAGUUGCCAGCAUUUAGUUGGGCACUCUAGAGAGACCGCCGGUGAUAAACCGGAGGAAGGUGUGGAUGACGUCAAGUCAUCAUGCCCCUUACAUCCUGGGCUACACACGUACUACAAUGGUAUCUACAACAGGAAGCAAGACUGCGAAGUUAAG
rnacentral:rRNA from 1 species